CUUCUCUCUGCAGCGACCAAAGAAUGUUCAGACUGUGAGCGUCCUUACUCUGUGCAGUGGAUUACCAUUGUAUGUUCAGUUUGCUGAAGCGGAUAUGGCACAUCAGAGCUCAGCACCCAGCUCAGGAACCAUGGCAGCAGCUCACUCCUACUCACAUCCUUACCAGCCCAGAAAGAACAGCCUCUCCUUUCCCUACAUGAUCCUCAGGACACAUUUGCCACCUCCUUUCUCUCCAUGUUCUACCACUUCCACGUUUCCUGCCCCAGCACUUACACAAGUGUGAGGCUGGACAAUGUAUACAAUUGGUACCAAUGCUCCUCUUGUGAUACCAGACUGUGACAUGUUUCUGGUACGCAGGACUACCGAGAUGGGAAAGUAAAUGGAAAACAAAUUUGGUGCAGCUAUGUUGAAGGCAUGAAUGGACAGUGGAAAGACUUUAAAACACAGCUUCAGACAGCUGGUCUAAAAUCCAUGAAGUUGUAAGUUCACUCACAAAGGCCUAACUUCAACAAGUACUCUUGGAAAGAAUGGUCUUGUUAAUCAGUCCUUCCACAACAGCAGAUUGAAAAACAAAAAAUCUUGAAGUCCUUCUCGCACAACUCAAGAUUCUUGAUGCUACUUGAGUAGCAUCUCAGCUACUGAAGUGCCUUAUCUCCCAUCCUUCUUCUAAUUAUAGCCAUUAAUCCUUUGCUAUUGUUUAUCUGAUGAGCAGCUGUUGACUUAUAGUAAGCAACAGAGCGUAAUUCAAAACUGUAAUUAAAACCGAUCAAUGGAGAAUUUUGUUACACGCUUUCAUUUCCAUUAGGGGCUCAAAAGAAGGGCAGACAGUGUGAAAAGGAUUUUUUUUUCCCUCCUUCCAACUUAAAUUAGUUUUGUCUGAACAGGGCAAGAAAAUGAGCUCAUCCGAAUUCUGAUUCAACUGAGAAUUAAAAUGCCAAAUGAUAAGAAAUAUUUCACAGGGGCAGGUGGCGGAUGGAAGAAGUGAAUGAAGAUAAGCAGAAGUUUCUUUAUAAAAUGAUUUAUUAAAAAUAAGUCUUUUAAGGAGGAAAAAGUGUGGUAUGUAUAUACAGUAAAUUGUCACAAACUGCAUGGAACUUAUAAUACAACCGAUCCACUUUGUUGGUU